CAGCCCCGAUGAUGGUCUGCCUUCAAGCCAGCUCGCUGGUGAGGCAGACCUGAACCCAGGCGUG
rfam:Amazona aestiva scaffold_266, whole genome shotgun sequence.